GAGUUUGCAUUGUUCAUUUGUGAUGGUUCAUUGUAUAGUGCUUGGAUUGAUGGUGUCAGUGCUCCACCCAUAUAGGGGUGGAGCCAGGAUGUGAUGUAAUGGCAGGAAGAAGGUGUGUUUUUCUCUUUGCUGGUUUGAGUUUGCUGCUGGCGGCCGCCAUGAACUGCAGCCCAGCCAUGCCUGCCUGUCUUGGAGACAACUGAGUGUGGACUGAAACCUCCAAAAACUAUGUCAAUGUGGGGUUACAACAUCUUGCAGCGAUGCUUCCCCGACUCCUUUAUUACACGAGGGCCUUCUGUCUCGACACCAGUGACCUGCAUGUCUCCUUUCAGUUCUUGUUCACGGAAAGUCCCGAAGCUGCUGCUGUUCCUUCAGGCCCGCAUGUUUAGAGCAGACCGUGUUUGGUUUCUUGGUUUGCUACGACUCAAAUCUUGAUUCCUCACUCGGCUCUUGAUUUUCUUCUUCUUCCUUAUGUGCAUUCCUCUUGAGAGUGGCGGUUUGCUUCUAAAGAGCUUUUGCUACA